GAACACCAGUGGCGAAGGCGACUUUCUGGACUGUAACUGACGCUGAGGUACGAAAGCGUGGGUAGCGAACAGGAUUAGAUACCCUGGUAGUCCACGCCGUAAACGAUGGAUACUAGGUGUAGGGGGUAUCGACCCCCCCUGUGCCGGAGUUAACGCAAUAAGUAUCCCGCCUGGGGAGUACGGUCGCAAGACUGAAACUCAAAGGAAUUGACGGGGGCCCGCACAAGCAGCGGAGCAUGUGGUUUAAUUCGAAGCAACGCGAAGAACCUUACCUAGACUUGACAUCUCCUGCAUUACUCUUAAUCGAGGAAGUCUCUUCGGAGACAGGAUGACAGGUGGUGCAUGGUUGUCGUCAGCUCGUGUCGUGAGAUGUUGGGUUAAGUCCCGCAACGAGCGCAACCCUUAUUGUUAGUUGCCAUCAUUAAGUUGGGCACUCUAGCGAGACUGCCCGGGUUAACCGGGAGGAAGGUGGGGAUGACGUCAAAUCAUCAUGCCCCUUAUGUCUAGGGCUACACACGUGCUACAAUGGUCGGUACAAUAAGACGCAAGCCCGCGAGGGGGAGCAAAACUGAAAAACCGAUCUCAGUUCGGAUUGUAGGCUGAAACUCGCCUACAUGAAGCUG
rnacentral:rRNA from 1 species